rnacentral:tRNA from 1 species
AUUUGGGUAGCUUAUCUACUGUAAAGCACAGCUUUGAAGAGGCUGGGAAGGGUGUUGGCCCCUUUAAAG